UAAUUGGAGACGGAGAGACACGCCCCCAAAGAGGGGUGCAACUUGUAGGCGGGCACUAUCCUGCUGCAACAUGACAUUAUGUCCAUGCAUGUGCACAAAGGCAAGAACAUGAUCUCAAACGAUGUCCUCAUAACAAUGAUGAGUUGUGUUUUCCCAUGAGUUGUGAUGCCACCCCAUACCAUCACACUUCCACCCCAAAACUGAUGAUGAUAAGUAAUGCAAGAGUUGCUAAAACAUUCUCCAGUAUGCAUGUAGACCUUUGCACGACCAUCAGAGCUGUUCAGAUGAAACCCUCACUCAUUUGUGAACAGUGUACUGUCCCUGUUUUUCUUCUGAACCUCAGAUGCUGUCUACACCAAGUGUGACUGAUAGUCCUGUGUAAGCAAAAUUAGGCAUAUUGCUGAAUGUUGGGACCGGAUGUUGUGCUCUCUCAACCGGGCAACUACCAUGCUGUAAUGAAACUUGAUGGUAUCAGUUUACACCAACGCUAAACUACAUAUACAGCUCCCAAUACAGUGUGCUUUGAGAAGGGAGAGCAACUAUGCCCUGUACGUUUCUGGAAAGAAGGAGUGUUGAGAAGAAGAGUUCUGUGUUGAAGUCAGCAUUGACAUCCUGAGUAGUGAAAAGAUCAGCAGGGAGUAGCAUCAGUUCGCUACUGUGUGGAGGGACAGUGUUUCUCCCUAUACUCAUGGACAGUACUGUACAUCUAAACAUAUGAUUCAUAUUAUAUAUUGUUUCAUAAUGUGAGGUGUGUUUUUUUCAUUCAUAAUAUCAAUUAUGAUAUAUGGUGAAUUUAGCAUCUUACAAAUAUACUGUGCAUGGAAUUUCUUCACUUACACUGUUUUAAGCAUUUUGAGGCAAAACUCUUUUCAUGUGUUACAUUUAUGUUUAUUGUUUCCUCAACAAUAAAGAACUAGCAAAAUGA